UUAUUUAUUAACUAACCAUUGCUAUAGUGACAAAUAAUUUAAGCUAGAUAUUUAUUGCUAUAGGCCUUCGAAUUUAAACAAUAUCUUUCACUAUCCCUAACCAAACAAAUAAACAAAAAAAUCUAAGCUAUAAUAUCUAUACAUUGGCUCCUACACCAAUUAUCAAUUUGCCCACCUUGUUUUUUAGCACAUUGGAAAAUGCUAAUUAAGAUCCAAUUUGUUAAAACUUUCUUUUUCUUUGACUAAAAAU
rnacentral:lncRNA from 1 species